UAUCCACUCAAGUCCUCGCCGGGGUG
rnacentral:misc_RNA from 1 species